CAGACAACACAAGGUUGUCUCCCUUCCCCCCCACCCCAACCCCAAGCUUUAACAAAAUGGUGUGGCUUUCUUAAAUCACUUUGGGCAAUUCACCGAGCCUUAGUAACCUUAAUCAUUCUUUUACUUUAUCAUUCAUGCGGCUAUUUGUUUGUUUCUUGACUCUUCUUAAUGCCAAGCUUUACUCCUCCAAGGAUUUAGCACCUCCACGGGUUCUUGAUAAUUUUCCUUCUUCAAGCUGUUUCCUUGUUACACCAAGCUUAUUCUUGAAGCCUUUUCAAAAAAUAAAUAAAUAAAUAAAAUAUUCCUGGCAGAAUAAUUUCAAUCUUCUCCCUGGCCUUCAAGUAUUUGGAUCUUCAAUUUAAAGCUAAGAAAUCAGCAACCAAGCCAAGUUGUGAUUUCCUUGGUUGGAGAAUUUCUAGGAGUUUUGUUAAGCUAAAUUCAAGCCAAAAGGUGAGGGUUAGGAUGUUUUGAUGUUGGGCAUGAAUUGUGGUUUAAAGCUGCUAGUUAAACACAUGGGAAACUAGUUCAAAUUUUAAAUGACAAUACUGGAAAUUUGAACGUCCGAGAAAGCUUAAGAAAAUGUAUUUUGAAAGCUCAAAUAAAUUACUAAGAUAAAGCAUGAUACUGGGUUGGUGAUUUAGAGUUUUAUAUAGCAUGAUUGAAGGGUGAAAAUUUAGCAUGGUUUAAAUAUUUAUUGGGAUAAAUGUCUUGCUGGAAAUAAAGUAUGGUCUUAUGUUUCUAAGCUUAAGCUUGAGUUUAAUGCUGGGUUUGUAAAUAGUUUACUGGGCAUUGAUUUUAAAUGUAGGAAGCUAAGCUUAAGCUAAAUUCUGUAAAUUCGAAUGCUAGAAAACUGUGUUAUGUUAUUGGAAUACUAGGAAGCUUAAGCAAAUAUUGGGACUUAAAGAAUCUGUUGAAGCUCAAAGGAAAUAUUUGAAGCUUAAGGAAGCAAUUUGAAGCUCAAGAGCAGUAAGUGGUCAAAGGAUUAGUGGAUUGGUGCUGGUGGGAAAUCACACCAUCAAUAAAAGUGAAUUAAAUGGGGAGCAGCUGUGGUGAGGGGACUUCAACUUGCUGCAUAGGUAAUUGGCAUCUCAUAGCACUUUCCUUAUGCCACUUUGCCGUUUAGAGGUCAAAUUGUCUACUGUUUUUAAAUAAAAUGAUGUAUUCAUAAAACUAUUUUGGUCUGAAGCCCUUGGAUACUGUUUGAUGAAAUUUAAAUGGUGUAAUGUUCGAAGGAUUACAUUUCAA